AGAGAGAGACAUGCGCGCAUAUCAAUAAGCGGAGGAAAAGAAACUAACAAGGAUUCCCCUAGUAACGGCGAGUGAAGCGGGAAGAGCUCAAAUUUGAAAUCUUAAAGGGUUUCCCUUUACGAAUUGUAGUUUAAAGAAGUGUUUUUCUGUUGAGGUUUUGGUAAAAGUUCUUUGGAAUAGGACAUCAUAGAGGGUGAGAAUCCCGUAUUUGACCUUUACUUUCAACUUUGUGAUACACUUUCAAAGAGUCGGAUUGUUUGGGAAUGCAGUCCAAAAUGGGUGGUAAAUUUCAUCUAAAGCUAAAUAUUGGCGAGAGACCGAUAGGCGAACAAGUACCGUGAGGGAAAGAUGAAAAGAACUUUGAAAAGAGAGUUAAACAGUACGUGUAAAUUGUCAAAAGGGAAGCGUUUAACACCAGUGUUGUUUUUCUGAAAAUCAAUUAAAGAACUGUUUAUGCUAAGCUUGUUUAGACUUUAUCAGCUAUCUGUUUAGUUUUGAGCUUUUCUUUAAUGCACUUUUCAGUUAACAAGUCAACAUCAAUUUCUUUUGCUGUAAAAAAGCUUGAGGAAGGUGGCUUAAGAUUCGUCUUAAGUGUUUAUAGCCUCUUGCCUAUGCAGUCGGAGAGAUUGAGGUCUGCAGCGUAGAUCCUUCGGGGCUAAAUGCAUUUGUGCUAAGUCAUAGCAUUUUAUAGACAACUUGUUGACUAUGAUUUGUCUUGUAGCUUACUCGCUUAUGUUAUUUUACCUACGCUUAGGAUGUUGACGCAUGAGAUAUACGC
rnacentral:rRNA from 1 species